UACGUAGGGGGCUAGCGUUGUCCGGAAUCAUUGGGCGUAAAGAGCGUGUAGGCGGCCCGGUAAGUCCGCUGUAAAAGUCAAAGGCUCAACCUUUGAAUGUCAGUGGAUACUGCCGGGCUAGAGUCCGGAAGAGGCGAGUGGAACUCCUGGUGUAGCGGUGGAAUGCGCAGAUAUCAGGAAGAACACCAACUGGCGAAGGCAGCUC
rnacentral:rRNA from 1 species